CGCGCUGAUGGUCUAUGGCCAGGUCUCGACCGGCUAUCGUUCGGGCGGGGUCAAUCCGCGUCCGUUCUAUCCCAGCCAGGUCGA
rnacentral:tRNA from 1 species